rnacentral:rRNA from 1 species
CUGGCUCAGGACGAACGCUGGCGGCGUGCCUAAUACAUGCAAGUCGAGCGGAGUUAUUCCUUCGGGGAUAGCUUAGCGGCGGACGGGUGAGUAACACGUAGGCAACCUGCCUGCAAGACCGGGAUAACAUUCGGAAACGAAUGCUAAUACCGGAUACGCAGUUUCCUCGCAUGGGGAGACUGGGAAAGACGGCGCAAGCUGUCACUUGCAGAUGGGCCUGCGGUGCAUUAGCUAGUUGGCGAGGUAACGGCUCACCAAGGCGACGAU